rnacentral:lncRNA from 13 species
AUGUCCAAGCCCUUUAGAAUACCAAGCGCAGUAUCACAGAGUGUCAAUGUCUCACGGGUAAACACUGCUAGGACCCAACACUUACAUGAUUUUAAGACCGACACACUGCAGGACAGCCGGAGUCAGCUCAGAGCUGAUACCAGCCUAAAGAGCAUUGAUCUUAAGCAGUACAGGAAAUCAGUCCAUGUGAGGAAUGGUGGUUUGAAGCCUUUGAAACCUGUUGGCCCACAGAGACCAAGUAUAUUCCAGUGUACUGGCAUAACUUCAGACCCUAUGAAGAAUGUGCAAGAGAAAUACCACCAGGGUGACAACACGGCUCCUGUGUUCAGGCGCUUCUAUGAGGUGAUGCUUGAGGAGCCACAGAGAAGACGUCAAGACAGAUCUGCCCACACAUCAGGAACGUUUGGAGGUCACAUGGAUGAUGAACACCUAGAGACUGCAACAUCAGAUUACUGCCUGGAGGUCCGUAGCUGCUCCCCAGAAGCCCUGCAGCUUCAGCUAGAGGGCCUGUGUCUGCAGGGGGAGUGGGGCCAGCUGGGUGGGGGUAAGAGGUAUAGCUCACUACCUACAAGUCACCCAGUAAAAGAUACUUUCUUCAAGAGUAUGGUGUCAAAUGACUCCCAUAAGGACGCAGGGUGUGCGAGUGGCAGGAAAAUAGAGGACACAAGUAAAGAGGACAGUUCGAAGGACACAGCAGACCCUUUCUUCAUUAACAAGUGGGAUCCAGGCCAGCUUAAAGUCACCUUCACACUUAAAGACUCAAAUGAGCAGAUGAUAAAGAGUGUCCUCCAAAAGCCACCCUCUUCCUGA